ensembl:lncRNA
GGCUUGGCCACAGCCCGCCGGGACUGAAAAGCAGCUCGGGGAGAAAAUUCAGGGCAGCACUGGCAGAGGCUGACCACGGCCUGCAACGGGCACGGUGACGGAGGACCCGGCCUCGCCUCUUGGCAGCAGCUGCUUCCCGAGGGCUCGGGGCGGCGUUGCUCCUGGGAGAGGCCCUCCCAGACUGGAAGAAGCUGACCUGCUCUGAGUCGGGAGUGGAACACUGGUUCCCCAUUGUCUCUUCUGCUUUGAAGAACUGUUAGUGCUUCAAGUCUCAGCUUGGAAGUUCCUUCAGGAAGCUUUCCCUGAUCUCAUGAGGUCACAUAUCCUCUGCUGGGUCCGGUGCCCACUGUCCUCCUAGCGUGUCCUAUGUGUCUUGCAUCAUGGCACUCAUUACAUUGGAUCGCCUGUCUGUCCACUUGUCAUUGACUGCAGCAACGCCACCAUCAGUUCUGUGCCUGGCACAGAGUUGAUAUUUGUGACUCACAGGUGCAAGUCCUGGGCUAAUGAGUCCCAGAGGAGGCCAGAACUUCCAGAGUCAGAGGUUUGUGGAGCCCGACGAGCUCCUCUGCGGUGUCCCGGUUCCUGUGGUGAUUGGAUUGUCUGCUCUGAGUUGAAGCCUCUCCAGCGGUUGUCUUUUCCAGACUGUCAGCUCCUCAUGCCUGCUCUGCCUUGUCCACAAAACUCAGGCCUGUGUGCUGAUUCCUGACCACUUCUGGGAAUUACUGAAGAUGCCUGGAUGGAGGGUGUGUGAGGAUGAGAGGAAGGAUCCCAGCAUCUUUCUCUUAGAGGCCAGUAAGACAGGUGACACAUGUUCUCACAACCCAGAAAACCAGGGGAGCAUAGACAGCCAAGUCAGAAAGUCCUAUGGGGCUCAUGUCUGGUGUGGGAGGUACGGGCCUGAAACCAGAUUUCUCCCUUGUGCUACAGGCAGGCGAGGCGGCAGCCUGCAAGCAGGAGCCCCGGGCAGUCGCUCCAGCCAGGAGCCUGGUGCAGACAAUGGUUCAGCCAGUACCUGCAAUUUCCAGGAAAAUCAAUUUAGAUGACAAAAUCAAAAAGGUGGAAUUGGAGUGAAGAAAAUGGCCCAGAGCUGAGUGUCUUCAAAGGGAACUGGGGCUUUCAGGCAAGGAUUUCAUGUUUUAACAAUUAAAAUAUUUUAUUAGCACCUGUUUGCGGUAUACGAUGUUUACAUUCACCUUAGGGAGUAGAUACAUUUACUGGAUGUAUCUUAAUUCUCUUUGAGCUGCUUUCUGUCCCCUUACCUUUACUGCCCUUUUGUGCCUACAUCCCCUUCCCACAUUUUCAUUUUGUUUAAGUUCGUGUUUGUGACGCAUAGUGACUACAUUCACGGUGCGUGGUUGGUACGUGCACAUGACACAUCCUCAUUACAUCUGCGUCCCUCUGACCUCCUCCUUUCCCCUGCCCUCCAUUCUCUCGCUCCCCUCCCCGUUCAUAAAGGAUCUAUCUUCUCGUUGCCUUUUACCUUUCAUUUUGCUCUGUACUUUAUUUUUUAGUUUUUUGAGACAUGGUCUUGCUGUGUAGUUCAGGCUUGCCUGGAACUCACUAUAGAGCCUAAGCUGGCCUCGAACUUAGGGCGAUCCUUCUG